rnacentral:rRNA from 1 species
CUCGAGGCCAGAUCUUUCCGGUUGAUCCUGCCGGACCCGACUGCUAUCGGAUUGGGACUAAGCCAUGCGAGUCAACCCGCAAGGGUGGCGCACGGCUCAGUAACACGUAGUCAACCUACCCUGAGGACGAGGAUAACCCCGGGAAACUGGGGAUAAACCUCGAUAGGUCAUAGCUCCUGGAAUGGGCUAUGGCUCAAAUCUAUAUGGCCUCAGGAUGGGACUGCGUCCGAUCAGGUUGUUGGUGGGGUAAUGGCCCACCAAGCCUAUAACCGGUACGGGCUCUGAGAGGAGGAGCCCGGAGAUGGGCACUGAGACAAGGGCCCAGGUCCUAUGGGGCGCAGCAGGCGCGAAACCUCCGCAAUGGGCGAAAGCCCGACGGGGUCAGUCCGAGUGGCUCCCGCUAAGGGAGUCUUUUGCCAGCUGUAAACAGGCUGGUGAAUAAGGGGUGGGCAAGCCUGGUGUCAGCCGCCGCGGUAAUACCAGCACCCCGAGUGGUCGGGAUGAUUAUUGGGCCUAAAGCAUCCGUAGCCGGUGUAACAAGUCCUCCGUUAAA